rnacentral:rRNA from 1 species
GACGAACGCUGGCGGCGUGGAUUAGGCAUGCAAGUCGGACGGUAGGGCUUUAUCGUAAGAUAGAGUUUGAGAGUGGCGAACGGGUGAGUAACACGUAGGAAUCUACCCUUAAGACGGGGACAACCCAGGGAAACUUGGGCUAAUACCGGAUGAGAGUGCGAGAGAUUGCAUUUAAAAGGAUGGCGAAAGUUGUCGCUUAGGGAUGAGUCCGCGUACCAUUAGCUUGUUGGUGGGGUAAUGGCCUACCAAGGCUGCGAUGGUUAGCUGGUCUGAGAGGAUGAUCAGCCACACUGGAACUGAGACACGGUCCAGACUCCUACGGGAGGCAGCAGUGAGGAAUAUUGCGCAAUGGGGGCAACCCUGACGCAGCAACGCCGCGUGAGUGAGGAAGGUUUUCGGACUGUAAAGCUCUGUCGAGCGGGAAGAAGUGUACCAUGGCUAAUAUCCAUGAUAUUUGACGGUACCGCUAGAGGAAGCACCGGCUAACUCCGUGCC